rnacentral:lncRNA from 1 species
UGUGGCCAUAAGCUCAGCAAGUGAAGAAGCAGAGAAUAUGGAGAGGGAGAUGGAAUUUUAGGAAGGUUAUGGCAUGGGUGAGUGGGGAAGAUGAUAAAACUAAUUACUACUUUUGAGUGGUUACAACUUAGAAGUAGAUUAAAAAAAAAUGUUAUCUUUCCCAAUCCACCCAUGCCUUAUGUUUCCUCUUAUUCAUCCCUCUCCUCAAUUUCUCUCCUCUACUACUACCACAUUUAUAUAUGAUAUGUUUAUUAUGUUUGGUAGCUGUUCAUCUAUAGAUUUACUCUAGUGUCCAUCAUAUAUUUUUAUUAUGUGUGGUGUGGUGAUUAGGUUUUUAUUAUGUGUGGUUUUAUGGUUUUUCCAUGUGUUUUUUCUUUCUAAGGGUUGGUAUAAUUUGUUGAGUGCGCAUGUAAGGAUCUGUUUUGAGGCCAAAGAUCUCAUCAACCAUAUAAAUUUCCAGCUGAUUUUCCGAUCUAUGGAGAUCUUUGUUACAUAGUU